AACGAACGCUGGCGGCAGGCCUAACACAUGCAAGUCGAACGCUCCGCAAGGGAGUGGCGCACGGGUGAGUAACACGUGGGAACCUACCUUCUGGUACGGAACAACCAAGGGAAACUUUGGCUAAGACCGUAUACGACCUCCGGGUGAAAGAUUGAUCGCCGGAAGAGGGGCCCGCGUCCGAUUAGGUAGUUGGUGAGGUAACGGCUCACCAAGCCUUCGAUCGGUAGCUGGUCUGAGAGGAUGACCAGCCACACUGGGACUGAGACACGGCCCAGACUCCUACGGGAGGCAGCAGUGGGGAAUAUUGGACAAUGGGCGCAAGCCUGAUCCAGCCAUGCCGCGUGAGUGAUGAAGGCCUU
rnacentral:rRNA from 1 species